UACAUGGCUGUGAAAAGGAAAGUAAAAAAGGGAUUUGACGUCCAGAGAGCUGCCUGAUUGCUGGGAGGGCGGCCGCGAACUCUUUUUGAAAGCCACCUUGGAGCUCUGCUUUUGAACAAUCAGUAGAAAGCAGCGGACUUUCCCCACGUUACGGGGCGCAUGUCUUUUUGACAAGACUGCACGAGUUUGCCUUUUGCGAGAAAGGCAAAAAAGCUGAGUGGUACCGCGAUACCUUCGCCUCAGCA
rnacentral:ncRNA from 1 species